rnacentral:rRNA from 1 species
AACGCGAAGAACCUUACCUGGGCUCGAAAUGCUAUGGACCAGCCUGUGAAAGCAGGCCUUCCCGCAAGGGACCGUAGUAUAGGUGCUGCAUGGCUGUCGUCAGCUCGUGUCGUGAGAUGUUGGGUUAAGUCCCGCAACGAGCGCAACCCUUGUCCUGUGUUGCCAUACCGAAAGGUGGAACUCGCAGGAGACCGCCAGGGAUAACCUGGAGGAAGGUGGGGAUGACGUCAAGUCCUCAUGGCCUUUAUGUCCAGGGCUACACACGUGCUACAAUGGACGGUACAAAGGGCUGCCAACCCGCGAGGGGGAGCCAAUCCCAAAAAACCGUUCUCAGUUCGGAUUGCAGGCUGCAACUCGCCUGCAUGAAGCUGGAAUCGCUAGUAAUGGCGGAUCAGAACGCCGCCGUGAAUACGUUCCCGGGCCUUGUA